CAAAAAAUACUAUUAAAUGCAUAAGGUUGUUCAAUUCAAGUUUAUUUUCCACCCUAUAACAGAAAUUGACAUACAGAAGGUAUGUGUUUAUAUCUUACAUACAACUGAAAAAUCGAAGUUUACAUUUAUGCUUGUAAUUGUAUUGCUCUUCUAUAAUUAAGUCAGUAUAUGUAAUUGCCUGCCAUUGCUGGAUAUGAUUGACAAGUUGUAUUGUUUGACAUUCCACAAGGUCAGGUAGUGACUUCUCUCAAUGGUCAUUUAAACAAGGUUAUAACUUAUAAAUGCCAAAUUUGCAGUUGAGACUAAAGUUUAGUUGGUGGCUCUACUGAUAAGGUAAAUCCAUUCAUUACAUAAGAUUUUCCUUGUUUCUUUUGUUGCUUAUAUGAUCACUACAUUGGGAAAACAAUUGCAUGUAUAUCUUCUGAUUCUUUGUGGCAUCCAAUUCCAGGCACCCGUAGAAAGGCAGAGGCAGUUGAAGCUAAUGACAUUACUUCAAUCAAGUUCAAGAUGUGAAUGUUGUCAGCGGUUUUAAGUUCAAUAUAAUCGGCGAGGCAGUGUUUGGUUUCUUUGGUUGCUACUGUAUAUAGAUUGAUCACUGAUUUAAUUCACUUGUCAACAAUUAAUUAGUUAGGUACUAAUAUGUAGUAACCAGCUAUCAAUUCAAUUUUUU